UGACCAUCCCUGACCAUCCCUGACCAUCACUGACCAGCACUGACCAUCCCUGACCAUCACUGACCCUCACUGACCAUCACUGACCAUCCCUGACCAUCCCUGACCAUCCCUGACCAUCACUGACCCUCACUGACCAUCCCUGACCAUCCCUGACCAUCCCUGACCAUCACUGACCAUCACUGACCAUCCCUGACCAUCCCUGACCAUCACUGACCAUCCCUGACCAUCACUGACCAUCACUGACCAGCACUGACCACUGACCACUGACCAUCACUGACCAUCACUGACCAUCACUGACCAUCACUGACCAUCACUGACCACUGCUCUGGGCUGUACAGGGAUCCCUCAGGUGUCCCCAGGUGUAUCCAGGUGUCUCAGGUGUAUCUCAGGUGUGUCCCCAUGUCCCCAGGUGUGUCCCAGGUGUCCCCAGGUGUCCCCAGGUGUGUCUCACCUGCAGCAGCAGGUGACAGAUCUCCAGGUGUCCCUUCUGCGCGGCCGCGUGCAGCGCCGAGCGCUUGCUCUGGGCGUCGCUCUGGAAAUUCGGGUCCAGGUUGUCCACUGGGAGAGGGGGGAGGGGCGUCAGGACCCCCAAAAUCGGCACCGGGACCCCCGAAAACGGGAUCGGGACCCCCAAAAACUGGAUUGGGACCCCCAAAAAUGGGAUCGGGACCCCCGAAAUUGGGAUUGGGACCCAAAAAAAAUGGGAUUUGGACCCAAAAAAACGGGAUUGAAACACAAAAUUAUGGGAUCGGAACCCAAAAAAAUGGGACUGGGACCCCAAAAAUCGGGAUCAGGACCCCCAAAUUUGGGGUCAAGACCCCCAAAAUGGGAUUGGGACCCCCAAAAUUGGGAUCAGGGAUGCAAAAAAUGGGAUGGGGAUGCCCAAAUUUGGGAUAGGGACCCAAAAAAUGGGACUGGGACCCCCAAAAUCGGGAUCAGGACCCCCAAAUUUGGGAUUAGGGACCCAAAAAAACGGGAUUGGGACUCAAAAAAUGGGAUCAGGACCCCCGAAAUCAGGAUUGGGACCCCCAAAUUUGGGGUUGGGACCCAAAAAAACAGAAUUUGGGCCCAAAACUCGGGGUCAGGACCCCCAAAUUCCCACCCAGGACCCCUCAAACCAACCCCAAAACCCCCCCAGGGGCUCCCAGAGGUUUUUGGGGUCCCCCCGAUGGAUUUUGGGGGUCCCCAGGUGGAUUUUGGGGGUCCCCCCGAUGGAUUUUGGGGUCCCCCCGGGUGUUUUUGGGGUCCCCAGGUGGAUUUUUGGGGUCCCCAGGUGGAUUUUCCCCCCAAAUUUUCACAUUUUCCCCCCAGAUUUUGGGAUUUUCUCCGGGGUUUUUCCCCUCCCCCCAUAUUUUGGGGUCCCCAGGUGUUUUUUGGGUCCCCCCAGGUGGAUUUUUGGGGUCCCCCCGGGUGUUUUUGGGGUGCCCAGGUGGAUUUUGGGGUCCCCAGGGUGGAUUUUCCCCCCAAAUUUUCUCAUUUUCCCCCCAGAUUUUGGGAUUUUCUCGGGGGUUUUUCCCCUCCCCCCAUAUUUUGGGGUCCCCAGGUGAAUUUUUGGGGUCCCCCCGCGUGUUUUUGGGGUCCCCAGGUGAAUUUUUGGGGUCCCCAGGGUGGAUUUCCCCCCAAAUUUUCACGUUUUCCCCCCAGAUUUUGGGAUUUUCUCGGGGGUUUUUCCCCUCCCCCCAUAUUUUGGGGUCCCCCCGGGUGUUUUUGGGGUCCCCCCAGGUGGAUUUUGGGGUCCCCCCGGGUGUUUUUGGGGUCCCCCCGGGUGUUUUUGGGGUCCCCGGGUGUUUUUGGGGUCCCCAGGUGGAUUUUGGGGGUGCCCAGGUGGAUUUUGGGGUCCCCAGGGUGGAUUUUCCCCCCAAAUUUUCACGUUUUCCCCCCAAAUUUUCUCAUUUUCCCCCCAGAUUUUGGGAUUUUCUCGGGGGUUUUUCCCCUCCCCCCGUAUUUUGUGGUGCCCAGGUGGAUUUUGGGGGUGCCCAGGUGGAUUUUGGGGCCCCAGGGUGGAUUUUGGGGUCCCCAGGGUGGAUUUUCCACCCAAAUUUUCACAUUUUCCCCCCAAAUUUUCACAUUUUCCCCCCAGAUUUUGGGAUUUUCUCCGGGGUUUUUCCCCUCCCCCCGUAUUUUGGGGUGCCCGGGUGGAUUUUGGGGGUCCCCAGGUGGAUUUUGGGGUCCCCCCGGGCGUUUCUGGGGUCCCCACUCACGCAGCAUGAGGAUGACCCUGCCCAGCUCCCCCUGUUUGACGCUCAGGUAAAGCUGCCGGGGGUGGAAACGGAGCUUCUUCCUCCUGGGGGGAUG
rnacentral:lncRNA from 1 species